rnacentral:lncRNA from 1 species
AAUCCUUGGGCUUAAUAAAUAUUUGUUUGAGAUGUAUUGUUUAAAAAUCAUUUUGUAUUAUGUGUUAUUUAUUUUUGUUAUUUAGGGAGCUACCAUUUGAUUUUUAUGUGGGGGGGCUAGGAUGAAAAAUUUUGUCCUGCAUUUUUUUUAGCGGUAAUCUCUGUCCUGCCUUUUUAUUUUUCACUCUGUUCGGUCCUGCCUUUUUUUUUUGAGUUUAUCCUUUUUUUUUUUACCUAAAUUGUCGUCCUGACUUUUUUUUUUUUGCAAGUGUCUCAUCCUGCCUUUUUUACUCAAAACUCCUGUCCUGCCUAUUUUUUUCAAAUUUCAUCCUAGCCCCCCCCCAUAAAAAUCAAAUGGUAGCUCCCUUAGUUACAAUCCUAUGUUUGGAUUUUACAUUCAUAAAAUUUGUUAUCUCAUUUUAAAUAAGGAAAUAAAAAUGUACAUGUUAACACAUAAAUUAUUCUUGUAGUAAAUGUCACAAAAUUUUAAAAUGUUAAAGUGUAUGAAUAAAAU